CANNNNUUCCUUUUGNCGUUUAGCCUGCCAGAAGAAGCCCCCGGGCCUAACUUCCCGUGCCCAGCAGCCCGCGGUAAAUACGGAGGGGUGCGAGCGUUUAAUUCGGAAUUUCCUGGGGCGUAAAGCGCCAUGCAGGUGGUUUUGUUAAGUCAGAUGUGAAAGCCCGGGGCUCAACCUUCGGAAUUGCAUUUGAAACUGGCAAACUAGAGUACUGUAGAGGGGGGUAGAAUUUCAGGUGUAGCGGUGAAAUGCGUAGAGAUCUGAAGGAAUACCGGUGGCGAAGGCGGCCCCCUGGACAGAUACUGACACUCAGAUGCGAAAGCGUGGGGAGCAAACAGGAUUAGAUACCCUGGUAGUCCACGCCGUAAACGAUGUCUACUUGGAGGUUGUGGCCUUGAGCCGUGGCUUUCGGAGCUAACGCGUUAAGUAGACCGCCUGGGGAGUACGGUCGCAAGAUUAAAACUCAAAUGAAUUGACGGGGGCCCGCACAAGCGGUGGAGCAUGUGGUUUAAUUCGAUGCAACGCGAAGAACCUUACCUACUCUUGACAUCUACAGAAGCCAGCGGAGACGCAGGUGUGCCUUCGGGAACUGUAAGACAGGUGCUGCAUGGCUGUCGUCAGCUCGUGUUGUGAAAUGUUGGGUUAAGUCCCGCAACGAGCGCAACCCUUAUCCUUGUUUGCCAGCACUUCGGGUGGGAACUCCAGGGAGACUGCCGGUGAUAAACCGGAGGAAGGUGGGGACGACGUCAAGUCAUCAUGGCCCUUACGAGUAGGGCUACACACGUGCUACAAUGGCGCAUACAGAGGGCGGCCAACUUGCGAAAGUGAGCGAAUCCCAAAAAGUGCGUCGUAGUCCGGAUUGGAGUCUGCAACUCGACUCCAUGAAGUCGGAAUCGCUAGUAAUCGUGGAUCAGAAUGCCACGGUGAAUACGUUCCCGGGCCUUGUACACACCGCCCGUCACACCAUGGGAGUGGGCUGCAAAAGAAGUGGGUAGUUUAACCUUCGGGAGGACGCUCACCACUUUGUGGUUCAUGACUGGGGUGAAGUCGUAACAAGGUAACCG
rnacentral:rRNA from 1 species